rnacentral:rRNA from 1 species
AACGUAGGAGACAAACGUUAUCCGGAGUUACUGGGCGUAAAGGGCGUGUAGGCGGACUGUUAAGUCUGGCGUGAAAGCUCUCGGCUAAACCGGGAGAGGUCGUUGGAUACUGGCGAACUCGAGGAUGGUAGAGGCGUGUGGAAUUCCGGGUGUAGUGGUGAAAUGCGUAGAGAUCCGGAGGAACACCAGUGGCGAAGGCGACACGCUGGGCCAUACCUGACGCUAAAGCGCGACAGCAUGGGGAGCAAACGGG